GAUGAAGAACGAAGCGAAAUGCGAUAAGUAAUGUGAAUUGCAGAAUUCAGUGAAUCAUCGAAUCUUUGAACGCACAUUGCGCCCAUUAGUAUUCUAGUGGGCAUGCCUGUUCGAGCGUCAUUUCAACCCUUAAGCCUAGCUUAGUAUUGGGAAUCGACUUUACUGUCGUUCCUCAAAUUCAACGGCGGAUUUAUAGCAAUCUCUGAACGUAGUAAUUUUUUUCCUCGUUUUUGAAAUACUAUAAACCUCAGCCGCUAAACCCCCAAUUUUUUUAUGGUUGACCUCGGAUCAGGUAGGAAUACCCGCUGAACUUAAGCAUAUCAAUAAGCGGAGGA
rnacentral:misc_RNA from 1 species